rnacentral:rRNA from 1 species
GUAGUCUCGCACAGAUGCAUAUCAAUAAGCGGAGGAAAAGAAACUAACAAGGAUUCCCCUAGUAACGGCGAGUGAAGCGGGAAGAGCUCAAAUUUGAAAUCUUAAAGGGUUUCCCUUUACGAAUUGUAGUUUAAAGAAGUGUUUUCUGUUGAGGUUUUGGUAAAAGUUCUUUGGAAUAGGACAUCAUAGAGGGUGAGAAUCCCGUAUUUGACCUUUACUUUCAACUUUGUGAUACACUUUCAAAGAGUCGGAUUGUUUGGGAAUGCAGUCCAAAAUGGGUGGUAAAUUUCAUCUAAAGCUAAAUAUUGGCGAGAGACCGAUAGCGAACAAGUACCGUGAGGGAAAGAUGAAAAGAACUUUGAAAAGAGAGUUAAACAGUACGUGAAAUUGUCAAAAGGGAAGCGUUUGACACCAGUGUUGUUUUUCUGAAAAUCAAUUAAAGAACGGUUUAUGCUAAGUUGUUUAGACUUUAUCAGCUAACUGUUUAGUUUUGAGCUUUUCUUUAAUGCACUUUUCAGUUAACAAGUCAACAUCAAUUUCUCUUGCUGUAAAAAAGCUUGAGGAAGGUGGCUUGAGAUUCGUCUUAAGUGUUUAUAGCCUCUUGCCUAUGCAGUCGGAGAGAUUGAGGUCUGCAGCGUAGAUCCUUCGGGGCUAAAUGCAUUUGUGCUAAGUUAUAGCAUUUUAUAGACAACUUGUUGACUAUGAUUUGUCUUGUAGCUUACUCGCUUAUGUUAUUUUACCUACGCUUAGGAUGUUGACGCAUGAGAUAUACGC